rnacentral:rRNA from 1 species
CAGUCGCCGCGGUAAUACGAAGGGUGCAAGCGUUAAUCGGAAUUACUGGGCGUAAAGCGUGCGUAGGCGGUGAGUUAAGUCUGCUGUGAAAUCCCCGGGCUCAACCUGGGAAUGGCAGUGGAUACUGGCUCGCUAGAGUGUGUCAGAGGAUGGUGGAAUUCCCGGUGUAGCGGUGAAAUGCGUAGAGAUCGGGAGGAACAUCAGUGGCGAAGGCGGCCAUCUGGGACAACACUGACGCUGAGGCACGAAAGCGUGGGGAGCAAACAGGAUUAGAUACCCCGGUAGUCCCUGUCUCUUAUAC